UCUAUAUACGCUGAGUCACAGAGUCAGGUCUGUACCACGCUGUGUACACCUCUCUAUAUACACUGAGUCACAGAGUCAGGUCUGUACCACGCUGUGUACACCUCUGCAUAUACACUGAGUCACAGAGUCAGGUCUGUACCACGCUGUGUACACCUCUCUAUAUACACUGAGUCACAGAGUCAGGUCUGUACCACGCUGUGUACACCUCUACAUGUAUAUAGUGUAACUGAAAGCAGUGGUGUUCUAGAAGGCCAUUGCUUUCGAUUACCAGUAGUGAUUGUUACAUCAGCAUUAGAAUGUUCAGUUAAGAACAUUCUAAUCACACAUUUGUGACCUCACACUUUGAAAGGGUUAAGUGUGUAAGUGUGUGUGUGUGUGUGUCAGACGGCAGCCAUGUGUCCCGCGCUCUGAUUUCCGUUU